AGAUUGAACGCUAGCGGGAUGCUUUACACAUGCAAGUCGAACGGCAGCGCGGACUUCGGUCUGGCGGCGAGUGGCGAACGGGUGAGUAAUAUAUCGGAACGUGCCCAGUAGCGGGGGAUAACUACGCGAAAGCGUGGCUAAUACCGCAUACGCCCUACGGGGGAAAGGGGGGAUUCUUCGGAACCUCUCACUAUUGGAGCGGCCGAUAUCAGAUUAGCUAGUUGGUGAGGUAAAGGCUCACCAAGGCGACGAUCUGUAGCUGGUUUGAGAGGACGACCAGCCACACUGGGACUGAGACACGGCCCAGACUCCUACGGGAGCAGCAGUGGGGAAUUUUGGACAAGUGGGGGAAACCCUG
rnacentral:rRNA from 1 species